rnacentral:rRNA from 1 species
UACCAGCACCCCGAGUGGUCGGGACGAUUAUUGGGCCUAAAGCAUCCGUAGCCGGUCCUGCAAGUCUUCCGUUAAAUCCACCUGCUUAACAGAUGGGCUGCGGAGGAUACUAUAAGACUAGGAGGCAGGAGAGGCAAGCGGUACUCAGUGGGUAGGGGUAAAAUCCGUUGAUCCAUUGAAGACCACCAGUGGCGAAGGCGGCUUGCCAGAAUGCGCUCGACGGUGAGGGAUGAAAGCUGGGGGAGCAAACCGG